UACGGGGGGGGCAAGCGUUGUUCGUAAUUACUGGGCGUAAAGGGUGCGUAGGCGGCUUUUUAAGUCGGAUGUGAAAACUCUGGGCUCAACCCAGAGACUGCAUCCGAAACUGGAGAGCUAGGGUUCUGGAGGGGAAAGCGGAAUUCCUGGUGUAGCAGUGAAAUGCGUAGAUAUCAGGAGGAACACCGGUGGCGAAGGCGGCUUUCUGGACAGAUACCGACGCUGAGGCACGAAAGCUAGGGGAGCAAACAGG
rnacentral:rRNA from 1 species